rfam:Picea glauca, whole genome shotgun sequence.
AUGACCUUACAUGAACAUGAUUUUUUCUAUAGGUUGUACGUCUUAGUCUGCGUAGAAUCCUAUUUAGACAAGGACACAAAUAUGGAAGAUGAACUAUGGAUCUCAGGCCAGAGUGUGAAUAUUUUGAUGCUUGGGACUUCCUUCCCACCUGUCUCUUGAUGAACGUCCCAUUUGUGAAAUUUCCAGUUCCACAUGGUGAAGGCCUCAGAGCGUUCUGACGGAUC